CUAAAAUAAUAUUUUGUAUUAUAUUUGUAUUUUUGUAUAGUAUCUAUGUACAAAAAGACGGACAUAUAUAGCACCAUGGGUGGACAAUUGUAGUGUUGAUGAGAAUUCCGGUAUAAAGGGGAAUUUAAUAUUUAACAAUGAUAAAACCACUGUUAAUGAAAAACAAUUUUGAGCGGAUCUUAGUUAAUAGUAUUAAUAUAUACUGAAACAAUUCCUAUGGACCAACAAAUAGAUUUGUUCCACAUCAUUUUUUAAUAAAAUGAUUUAGUUAAAUUUGAU